rnacentral:rRNA from 1 species
AGUGAGCGCUGGCGGUAGACCUAACACAUGCAAGUCGAGCGAGAACCAGGGCUUCGGCCCUGGGGAAAGCGGCGAACGGGUGAGUAACACGUGGGUAAUCUGCCCUCGGCACCGGGAUAGCCCGGGGAAACCCGGAUUAAUACCGGAUGGCCUCCCGAGCCCUUGGGCGCGGGAGAAAAGGUAGCUUCGGCCUCCGGCCGAGGAGGAGCCCGCGGCGGAUUAGCUUGUUGGCGGGGUAACGGCCCACCAAGGCGACGAUCCGUAGCUGGUCUGAGAGGACGAUCAGCCACACUGGGACUGAGACACGGCCCAGACUCCUACGGGAGGCAGCAGUAGGGAAUCUUGCGCAAUGGGCGAAAGCCUGACGCAGCGACGCCGCGUGCGGGAAGAAGGCCCUCGGGUUGUAAACCGCUUUCAGGAGGGAAGAAGCCACUCGGGUUAAUAGCCCAGAGGGUGACGGUACCUCCAGAAGAAGCCCCGGCUAACUACGUGCCAGCAGCCGCGGUAA